ACGGUAACAGAACUAGCUUGCUAGUUGCUGACGAGUGGCGGACGGGUGAGUAAUACUUAGGGAUCUGCCUCUGUGUGGGGGAUAACUAUUGGAAACGAUAGCUAAUACCGCAUAACGUCUACGGACCAAAGAGGGCUUCGGCUCUCGCGCAGAGAGGAACCUAAGCGAGAUUAGCUUGUUGGUGAGGUAAAGGCUCACCAAGGCGACGAUCUCUAGCUGUUCUGAGAGGAAGAUCAGCCACACUGGAACUGAGACACGGUCCAGACUCCUACGGGAGGCAGCAGUGGGGAAUAUUGCACAAUGGGGGCAACCCUGAUGCAGCCAUGCCGCGUGUGUGAAGAAGGCCUUCGGGUUGUAAAGCACUUUCAGUUGUGAGGAAAGGUUAGUAGUUAAUACCUGCUAGCUGUGACGUUAACAACAGAAGAAGCACCGGCUAACUCCGUGCCAGCAGCCGCGGUAAUACGGAGGGUGCGAGCGUUAAUCGGAAUUACUGGGCGUAAAGCGCACGCAGGCGGUCUGUUAAGCUAGAUGUGAAAGCCCCGCGCUCAACGUGGGAGGGUCAUUUAGAACUGGCAGACUAGAGUCUUGGAGAGGGGAGUGGAAUUCCAGGUGUAGCGGUGAAAUGCGUAGAGAUCUGGAGGAACAUCAAUGGCGAAGGCAACUCCCUGGCCAAAGACUGACGCUCAUGUGCGAAAGUGUGGGUAGCGAACAGGAUUAGAUACCCUGGUAGUCCCCACCGUAAACGCUGUCUACUAGCUGUUUGUGGAUUUAAUCCGUGAGUAGCGAAGCU
rnacentral:rRNA from 1 species